CCCUUAGAUGUUCUGGGCUGCACGCGCGCUACACUGAUGCAUCCAACAAGUUUUUUCCUUGUUCGAGAGGACUAGGUAAUCUUUUGAGAAUGCAUCGUGAUGGGGAUAGAUUAUUGCAAUUAUUAAUCUUCAACGAGGAAUUCCUAGUAAGCGCGAGUCAUCAGCUCGUGCUGAUUACGUCCCUGCCCUUUGUAUACACCGCCCGUCGCUGCAACUGAUUGGGUGACCUGGUGAACAUCUUGGACCGGUCCACUCAAUUUCGAGAGGACUGGAAAAGGCCGUAAAUCAGGUACAUCUAGAAAUUGCAAAAGUCGUAACA
rnacentral:rRNA from 1 species